CGGUUGUGGUGUCACACACCUGAAAUUCCAGCACCCUGAGAAGCUGAGGCAGGAGGGUUACAAGUUUGAGCCCAUCCUAGGCCAUGUAGCAACCUAACUAGCAAGACUCUGUCUCAAAAUAAUAGAUCAAAAAAGGGUGCCCCCACCUGCCUGCGAGUGUAAGGUCCUGAGUUCGAUCCCCGUACCACAGAAGGGUGGGGGGGAUGAAGCUAAGUGUGAAGAACCUGGGCUUAGAGUGAAAAAAAAAAAAAAAAGACGAGAGACAGAAGGACAGAGAGACCAGAAAGCCAGGUGCCAGACUGGAUGCCGUGUGCCUGUACACGGAGCGACCUCACCAAGGCUGCGUGGCGAUGGCUCGUCGUGCCCUGGCCCCGCCCGCCUGAGGCCCGGACCCCUGCGACUCUCGGGCGGCGACUCCAGCC
rnacentral:lncRNA from 1 species